rnacentral:rRNA from 1 species
CCUACGGGGGGCAGCAGUGGGGAAUAUUGGACAAUGGGGGCAACCCUGAUCCAGCCAUGCCGCGUGUGUGAAGAAGUCCCUCGGGUUGUAAAGCACUUUCAGUGAGGAAGAACGCCUGGUGGUUAAUACCCAUCAGGAAAGACAUCACUCACAGAAGAAGCACCGGCUAACUCCGUGCCAGCAGCCGCGGUAAUACGGAGGGUGCGAGCGUUAAUCGGAAUUACUGGGCGUAAAGCGCGCGUAGGUGGCUUGAUAAGCCGGUUGUGAAAGCCCCGGGCUCAACCUGGGAACGGCAUCCGGAACUGUCAAGCUAGAGUGCAGGAGAGGAAGGUAGAAUUCCCGGUGUAGCGGUGAAAUGCGUAGAGAUCGGGAGGAAUACCAGUGGCGAAGGCGGCCUUCUGGACUGACACUGACACUGAGGUGCGAAAGCGUGGGUAGCAAACAGGAUUAGAUACCCUUGUAGUC